rnacentral:rRNA from 1 species
CCAAUAGCGUAUAUUAAAGUUGUUGCAGUUAAAAAGCUCGUAGUUGAAUUUCGGGAUCAGACUGUCGGUCGUGCCUCGGUACGCACUGGCAUUAUUGAUUCCUACCUUCUGAAGAACCGCGAUGUCAUUAAUUUGGUGUCGCGGGGAAUCAGGACUGUUACUUUGAAAAAAUUAGAGUGUUUAAAGCAGGCUUACGCUUGAAUACAUUAGCAUGGAAUAAUGAAAUAGGACGUUUGAUUCUAUUUUGUUGGUUUCUAGGAUCGACGUAAUGAUUAAUAGGGAUAGUUGGGGGCAUUAGUAUUCAAUUGUCAGAGGUGAAAUUCUUGGAUUUAUUGAAGACUAACUACUGCGAAAGCAUUUGCCAAGGAUGUUUUCAUUAAUCAAGAACGAAAGUUAGGGGAUCGAAGACGAUCAGAUACCGUCGUAGUCUUAACCAUAAACUAUGCCGACUAGGGAUCAGACGAUGUUAAUUUUUUACUGACUCAUUUGGCACCUUACG